rnacentral:rRNA from 1 species
GAUGAACGCUGGCGGCGUGCCUAAUACAUGCAAGUCGAGCGAACAGACGAGGAGCUUGCUCCUCUGACGUUAGCGGCGGACGGGUGAGUAACACGUGGAUAACCUACCUAUAGGACGGGGAUAACUUCGGGAAACCGGGCCUAUUCCGGGUUAACUUUUUAAACCCCUGGGUUCACCAGGGAAAGCCGGCUUUGCGUUCACUUAUAGAUGAUCCGCGCCGCAUUAGCUAGUUGGUAAGGUAACGGCUUACCAAGGCAACGAUGCGUAGCCGACCUGAGAGGGUGAUCGGCCACACUGGAACUGAGACACGGUCCAGACUCCUACGGGAGGCAGCAGUAGGGAAUCUUCCGCAAUGGGCGAAAGCCUGACGGAGCAACGCCGCGUGAGUGAAGAAGGUCUUCGGAUCGUAAAACUCUGUUAUUAGGGAAGAACAAAUGUGUAAGUAACUAUGCACGUCUUGACGGUACCUAAUCAGAAAGCCACGGCUAACUACGUG